UAUUAUAACUUUAGGUAGUAAUAUAAACCAAUAUGCACUGGCGGUCUUAAUAACUUAGAGAAACUCGCUUUAUAAUCGUAAAUACUCGCUAAUUUUAACUUUAUCAAAAACCUAUAUACCGCCGUUAAGAGUGUAUUUAUAUUCCCCGCUCAAAAUCCUUAAUUAAGUAAAAAAUCAGGUCAAGGUGUAGUUAACGGUAAAGAAUAAGUAAGUUACAUUAAAAACAAUUUAAGGAUUAAAUAUAAAAAUAAAUAUUAAAAAGAAUUUAUAAGUACAUAUUAAUUAAAAUUUAAUAUAGAAAUAAACAUUACAGACGC
rnacentral:rRNA from 1 species